rnacentral:lncRNA from 1 species
UGAGAAAGAAUGAGGGGGACCAAGCAGAAGUGGAGAAGAUGGUUUUUUGCCUGCUCAUUUAAGAGAAACCUCAAAAGGGCACACAGAAAAAUUUGAAGAUAGAGAAGGAGAGCUUUUAGAGAAUGGAGACUCUAAAAAAUGGUGGGGCUGCAUCUGGAGAGGCCAACAGAAAGACUAGACUGGAAACGAGGUUAGCAGCUGAAACUUCCAUCCACAGAAUGCAUUUCAAUUAAUGGAAGGAGAAGAAACUCUCAAGUGUAUUGGAUGAGGGACAAACUGGACUGUUAACAUUUCAACUGAAGAAUUUACAAGGUAAUGUGCUGACAUCAUAACAAGGUUGGAGGGAGGCCCGUCUCACAAGAAUGUGGAAACCCAAUCAUCAUGCUUAUGAACCACAAAAGGAUCUAGAUACUGAUGUUCCUAUACACUUAUUUCUUAUGUCGAAUAGUGCAAUUCAAAUUCUAUUCUUGAAGCUUAAAGAUAACAUUGGAGCUGGCCCAAACUAGUAAAA